GAAUUCGCAGAGGGGUCCAAGAUCAACGCGAGCAAAAAUCAGCAGGAUGACGGGCCAACAGAGCACUUAUGGCAAGGCAUCUCGAGGGGGUGGCAAUCAUCAAAAUAAUUACCAGCCAUACUAAAGGGGGACAUUGGAGAAAACAGGAGGAUUUUGCUAGCGCAACCCAUCUUGCAGAACAACAUUGAAGAUUGGUCUUCUGUUGAUCUAAGAUGAUUAUUUUGUAAAAGACUUUCUAGUGUACAAGACACAACUGUGUCCAACUGUAUAUAGCCGCCAAUUAGUUUUCUUUGUUUUUACUUUGUCUUUUGCUGUGUUAUAACUCAAUGUGGAUUUGUGUUUAUACAAAUUUUAUUUGUAUGAUUUCAUGUUAAACCUCAAAUAAAUGCUUCCUUAUGUGAUUGUUAAAAAAAAAA
ensembl:lncRNA